rnacentral:lncRNA from 1 species
GAAACCGGUGAUAUUUGCUGCAAUCCUUUGUAAACCAUCGAUUUCCAUGGAAUGGGGAGGAUAGAGGAGGUUGCCGGGUCGGGAAGAGGGGGGUCGGACAAGCUUGAAUUUAAAAAAUACAGAGAAGAUUGGUCACAUGUGGGAGAUUGGGCGGGAUUUGCGUACUUCUUUUCGUUGGCCGAAAGGGGAAGGAAGGAAAAGAUUCAUGUGGACCAAAAGCUAAGUGGAUCGACCAUCCUGCGCUGAGCAAGAAGAUGGGAAAGAAACGGGUUAAAACAUUUUAGUAGCCCAAACGGGCCAAACCUGGUCCAAAUAUUAUAAUUCCUCAGAUGGGACACAAUUUUCUGAGUUAAAUGAAGAGAAUAAGCGAGAAAAUCAAGUCAUGGGGCUCGGCUUGGCUAGGGCUCGGGAGGAACGCGAAGAGGAGGUGCUAAUGACGAGCGUGGAGGAUACAACUAGUGGGAGCAGCGAGAAUAAGGACAACACGAAAGCUGUCACGAUCUGGGAAGGUACUUCGAUGUGUACGGAUGAUUACAAGAAGGGGGAAGAGGAGAGAUAAAAUUUGGCGUUAGCAUGUGCCGGGGGGGAAGGGUCUCCACUGACGGAUGCCAGGCUGAUUGAUGUGUUGGGAGAAGGCUGAACGUGAUUCCACGUGUGGACCGGUGAACGAAGCAGUUCGGGUGGAGGAAGAUGUUAGCUUGGAGAGUUAAUACUCUGAUUGGGUUUAGAGAAACUUCUCAAAGGUUAGUAAGAUGUUCAGCAUGACUAUUAAUAGUUUUGAAUUUAAAAUUUUAAAGUUGUUUGAGGAAAUGAAACAAAACUUUACUGAAACAAAGAAGAGUAAUAAGAAAGGGAAAAAAAUAGGAAAGAAACAGGGGGAAGGAGGGAGUAGAGAAUUAAAAAUCUUGGAGUGGUCUAUAAAUUAUGAGAGAAAAAAGAGUGGAAGGAAGGGAGAGGGGAUCUAGUGCAACGAUGUAAGCAUCCAUGAUAGGGAAGAUAAUUUCUUGAAAUGUUAGGGGGCUGAAUGAUAGGAGGAAAAAAAGGGUUAUCAAGGGGUGCAUCAGAAGGUGGAGGCCAGAUGUUGUUUGUUUACAAAAGACUAAAAUGGAGGAAAUUGACUGGCAGAUUGUCAAAAGUCUGUGGAAAGAAU